GUUCUCAGCUUCCUGACCCAUCAGAUUUAACCGCUGCUCUGAGUGGUUACAAAAGGAGGAAAACUAAAACGGAAACUGACUUCAAUUCUUUGGUGACACAUGGGCAGUUUAAAAAAAAA
rnacentral:snoRNA from 1 species